CAUGGAUAGCAUUGCGAAUAUUAUUAACUAUACCUGUAACGGUUGCUAAUAGUUAACGGUUAGCAACUUUGUUAAUUGAAAACGAAAUUGCUGAAACCAUCGACUUUGACAAUCUUAUAAAAGAGUUCGCUGAUAGAAAGGCCAGAAAGUUAGAGGGCGCCGUAGAAAUCUCGCCCAGGGCGCUGUUAGUGUUAAAACCGGCACUGGGCUCGCCAUUUAUAAGAGAAGAAGCAUGUGAAUCCCCGUGUUGAUGCGUACGUCAGUUUUGCGUAAAUACUCAGAAAAAAAUUGCUCAAUAUAAUAGAUACACAUCAGUGAACUUAGCUUUUUGUAAAAACAAACGUAAUUUUAUCCAGUUUUUCUAUCUGAAUUGAUGGGUCGAAAGACACAUUACACUGUUGAAGAAGCCCGACUGGUUUCAAACCUCAAAAAAGCAAAGAAAAUCGCUUCGGGAAAUUGGGAAAUUAAUAUAAAGGUCACAUAAUUUUGUUAAAAAUGCUUUAGAGCA